rnacentral:pre_miRNA from 1 species
AGCGAGGUAUGGAGUUCUUACUGUGCACAAAACAGGUAGGAACUUCAUACCAUGCUCG